rnacentral:lncRNA from 1 species
CGGGUCCAGCUCAAUCAAUUCAACACACAAAAAUACAUUAGUUCAAGCAAUCUGAUCGAAGCCCAUGUUUUAUAUGGGCCGGCCUGCUGGAUUAAUGGAUUGGAUGAAAAACAUAAUAGUUUUGUUGAUGCAGGGCCGGAUAAAGUGUUUCUCGUAACUUAAUUUCGUUCAUUAAUAUUAAAUUAAGUAAGCUAGUACAGAGAAAUUAUACGUGAAUUUGUGAAAAUGUUAAUUUAUUUAAUCCAUUAUCGAGGAAUAAGUGAAGUCAUACUUUAUUUGAUUGUAAUUGUUUUUUUUUAAUUAAAAAAAUACUCCUCCUAUUGAAAUAUUCCCGUAGGACUUAAAAAAAUAAAUAAAAAGACAAUUAUUUAGGAACCAAAAAGAGAAGGAUGAUAAUUUUGAGGAGGACAUGAGAUGUACUAAAUUAAAGAAUUCUUGCAUGGACACUAAUUCUUUAAUUAAGUAGGUAGACGUGGCUGUUGAUGAUAAAGCUAAGAAAAUUAAUUAUUGGAGGACUAUUUGGUCCUUUUAAUUGACAUGAUGACGAGCUAAUCUUUUUUGUCACAUCUUGGAUGGUCCAUGAGCAACAACCUAAUUAACUAUUUGCUAUCAGCUACCAUUAACACUUGAGAAGCAUCAAAUCGUUGGAGGGAAAGAGAUUGAUUGAGCAAAAGGAUGCUGUAUAUUACUUUAGAUUAUCUCUCAAUUGGCACUAAUUUUCAUUAAAAUCGAUGUUUUCUAUUCUCCUGAAUUAUGUUUCGGCAAACCUAUGCAUACACCAAAUUGACAGUCCCCUUGAUGGAAUAUGUGUAGUCUUGGAAGAAGCAUCUCUGAAAAAUUAAUGAUCGAAUGAGAGCUUUAUACAGUCUUCGAUCGGUUGAGCACACCAAGAGAAAAGAAAAAGAAGCAGCACAAAAUGAAUUCUCCUUUCGGUCUAUUCUAUUCUAUUCUUGUAGCUCGAUUUAAAAGGAAGAGAAGCACAAACAUGAGGAAAUAUAGGAGAAGUACCACUGAAUUUGGAAGAGCACGAGCUGUGGGAAACAUCUUCCGAGGUAGCUGCUGCUGCUGCUGCUGCUGUGAGCACAACAAGGAAGAAAGUUAGAGAGAGAAGCAACCCCAUCUCGACCCAGACGUAGAUUUUGGGAGGUACUUUGAACUCACCCAAUGUGGUCUCUAUAUAGCAAAUCAGGUACUCGCUCCAUUGGUGGUGGGAGCCUGAGAAGUCGCUUUCAUCUUCUCGAGAAGGAGUGGUAGGUGGAACUCGUAACACAACACGAAGUUGAGUGGCGACAUGCAGUAAUAGAAACCAGAAAAUAAAGAAAGAAAGAAGAAGAAAAAAAAAAAGAGUGGGGAAGAAGAAACACUUUUGGAGAGUCCCCACGAGAUUCUUCUUCACGAACAAGUUCCUUUAGGGAAGGGAUCAACGAGUUGUUAACCUACACCAAGCAACGCAACAAAUGAAUGCCUCCAUCCGUCUGCAAAUGCCCUACCUAGUUAGUAAUUGCUCUCACUUUCCGGUGGUCCCAACUCCUCCACCGUCACCGAGCCAUUUAGGUUGAGAAGAUGCAUCUUGAGAGGAUGGAUCCUGUUGGUAUGAGGAUCCAACUGGUGGUUUAGGCUUUGUAUCCAGUGAGAGAGAGAGAUAGAGAGAGGUGUUAUAGUAUGUAUGAUAAAAGGAAGGAAAAAAGAUGGAUUCCAGAUACGUGCCUUCAAUCGUAUAUCAGGAGAUAUGAAUCGACGAGUGGUUCAAAUUGGAUGAUGUAUUUGGCGUUGCAUCAUGCAUCAAUCAGUGGUAAGACAAAUAUGACAUGGAGGGAGGGAGGCCGGUCGAGCAGCGGACGUGCCUUUUGCUUCUAUGAACGUUGCGUGCACGAAAAGUCUCAUGAAUGAGAGAGAGCGACAUACAAGGAAUGAAUUAAAAGAGAAAAAAGAAAAAGGGGGCAAUAAUCGGUAGAUAAAAUGUAUGAAAGAAAGAGCAACCACCAUGUGACAUGUUUGGAAUUAGCUAGCGGAUGCCUUUCUAUAAUUUGAAGAUUUCCGGAGGUAACCAAAGCAUUAGGAUUUAAAUCUAUAUCUAGCGGAUCAAGUGUUCGUCAAUUAACAUGUAUAUAUAUUUAUUAUUAUUAUUAUUACGACUAUAUCUAUCAUGGAUUCACAAAAAAUUUCCUCCUCUUUUUUUUUUUGUAUCUAUCUAUCUAUCUACCUAUCUAUCUAACUUUGUAGUUCUUAAAAACACAAAAACAAUGUUGCAUCUCAAGGAAGAUAAAUAAACAAUCAUUUGUUGGUCAACAAGCAAUUUCGCAACAUGAUGAUGAUGAUGCUCUUCUUCUUCCUUUAAUAUCAUAUUUGGAACUGCUAAUGACGGUCUUUAGGAAAUAAUCGAAUGUAUGACCUGCUCAUCCACAAGCAACUUGCUAUAGUCAACCAACUCAAAAGGAUUUGCCUAAUUGUCUAUUGCUAAGCUUUCUUUAGUGGCUAUGCUUCAUUUUGUACACUGGUUAUAUAUUAUUAAACUCCAAGGGGAGACAACAUGACAAAAAUCUAGUCUUCAGCAAUUGGAUAAUGGAGCAAAAGAUGCAUUGGGAUCACUUUACUUAUAUCAAGUUCGACUUCAUAUUUGUUCUCUUUAUUUUUAAUUAUUUCCGGUGGUGUAUAAAGCGCAUAAUAAUAUUAAGUCCUAAUACUAUGAAUUUUGCAGCAAGAACAGCAGUAUAUUUAACAACACAAGAGGUGUUGCAAUACUUGGCUAUCAAUCACUUUUCUUUUGAAACUUCAACUGGAAAGGAACUGGCGAAUGGUACAUACGGUUUUGUGCUUACUAGUAGCUAAGCGAUCACGAUCACGGUACCCAAAAGAUUGAAGUUGAAUGGAUGUACUACCAAUCAAAGGCUGAAUGACAGUGAAGAGGAAAGAAAAAACAGUGCGAAGAAGAUGUCAGGUCAUAGGCGUCAUAAAGAUUAUGAGUAGUUGGUAAAUAGAAUUAACUAAUUCGAUCAUGCAGUUGACCGAUGGUCAGACGGGAUGGAAAUCAUUCCGUGAUGUUUGAGGGGGUGUGGGAAGAAGAUGGGGAUAAGGAUCAGAAGCCGGAGAUGAGAAAUUUAGAUGAUUGUGUUGCCAUCAUUUAGUUACUUGUCACGCUCAAAUAAUGAAGACCGAGACUUGGAUUACCUGCACGAGAAUUCUUCUCUUGCUUUUUGUGUUAACUUUGACAUCCCACGGAAUCUGAUAAUUGCAGCAAGUGUGACCGAUCGAAGGUGCUGAUGGCCGGUCCUAUCAGCGUCCCUGUCUUUGGUGGAUUGUUUCUACGAUUAAUUUUCUUGAACAGGGUUCUUGUCGAUUUGUCAUGCGUCUUUGGGAAGGAAGAGAGAAGAGAGAAGAGAAUCUUCAUUCAAACCUUCGAAAAGGAAUCUAUGGUUGGGCGAAUGGAUAUGGGAAUCUCUCUUCUUCAGUGUCAAUCAAGAACAAUGAUUUUUAACCCUCUGUUAUUUUGAAUUCUAGGAGGAAAAACAAAAAAACAAAAACAUGCUAACAGGAUAUCAAAGCCAGCAGCGAGUGUCAACAAGAUUUUCCAAUUACCUUUUUGAACUUUGAGAAAAGCUGCAAGUCAUAUGGAAGCUCCAACUUUUGAUGAUGAUUUCUUUUCUUGACGAAAGAUAUAUCUGGUCCUCCUUUUCUUCGUGACAAAGUUUCAUGGAUGGUAUUUGUUUUACUUACUACAAAUAGAUAGAUCGAAACACAAUAAUAAGAUAUUGGAGGAGGAAGAUGAUCGAUAGUAAAGCUGGUUAAGAGCUAUAAUCAUAUAUUAAAAACCAAGUAGAAGAUGAAGAACAAAUGUAAUCAUAUUUUUAUAUCUUUUCUUCUUGAUAUUUAUUUGCCAAAAAUCAAACAGAAUCGAGAUUGAUUCCUAAAACUUUAUUAUUAUUAUUUUUUUGCUUUGUCAAAUAUAAUUGGAUCGAUCAGACUUGACCGUUUCUGGCGUUCUUACCCUUAACGCUAACUAGUUGGACUUGAAGACUUCUUCUUUAUGGUCUUUCCCGAGGGAGGGAGGGAGGGAGGUCACAUUCAAUCUUCAUUAUGCAAAGCAGUACAGUCUGUACUCCGAGAAGACAUGCUUCUAAAACUGCAUCAGCAGCAUUACCACUAGUAGUAGAUCAACAUCUUAGGAGGAGACUUAUUAAGCAGAUGUGUUCAAUCAUGCUGCUGGCGGCAGAUUAAAAGUUGCUAAAUUCCAUCAGUUUCCUGGAGUCUGUUCAUCAUUUGUCUUUGCUCUCGUCAGCUGAUAUCCACAUUGCAACUGCUUGAUGGCUGACACAUUACUUGUAAUGUCUAGAUAGAUGUCAACAUUCAAGACAAAGUGGUGUGUUCUUAUAACUCUCCUAAGGAUUGCAGUCUCUUAUUCUAAAGAAUUACUUCUUUCCAUGAAAAGAUUCGUUGUUUUAUCUUCUUCCCCCCUAACAGAGAAAUAUAGAGCAGGGAGGGAACACUUAUUAGACCAUCUUCAACUUGUGAUAGACGUAUCUGAUUUGUGGCACUGCCACAUCCUAUCAAUUAUAGAAUAGGAUGCGAUAGAAGACCAUCACAAAAUUCUGGCACUAAUUUUUUACAUAAAAAAUUAUUUCUUAUAAUUAAUAGUCCCAUGGUGUCAAAUGUUGUGAUGGGUAGUGGCAACGAAAAGGGGGAGCGGUGCUACCACAACAUGUUCAGUGGUUGCACUCGAUGGUAUAGAACUGAUCUGUUAUUGCUAACAUGCAGCAGCUGCUCUAUGGAGGGUCGCGACCUACCCUUGGUUACCUACCCUAUUAUGUAUAACCACCAAUGGUGUAGUUGCAUGCAGGCUAACAUGUCGAGCGAUCCCUCAAAAAAAGUCAACUACAGUUGCGAUGGGCAACAACGACUAUUGUGCAGGGGAGCGAUAGUGCCAUAGCAAAAGUGACGACGUAUAAAUCGGUGGCAUCCAGAUUCUAGUCGUCGAACUGGUGGGUAGUUGAUAGUAAGGAGGAUGUUAUGAUAUGGAGCUCGACAGUGUAUGAUGGUUGAGUUUCACAAUGUUAAUCCAGCAAUCUCACGUUGGGUGGGUUAUUGCAAUGGUACUCGACCGCUGCAGGCUACUGUAAGGUUGUUGGAGUCGUCAGAGACCACUUAGUUUGCGACGAUGGCUUUCGGCAUUAAUAGCAUCAUGGCGUUUGGGCACUAUAUCAUGGACUUAGUUGAAAUUGCCUACGUCAUGAGGUACUCUCGUGGUAAUGUCAUAAACUUAGCUGGGAUUGUCUAAGUUGUGAGGCACCAUUAUGUCAAUGUUGCAGACUUAGUUGAGAUUGCCUAAAUGUCUAAAUCAUGAAGCACCUUUAUCCCAAUAUCAUGGACUUAGCUGAGAUUUCUUAAGUCAUGAGGUUUCCUUACAUUAUCCGCCUACACAUGGUCAGCUUAGUUACAACUUCGCAUAGAUCCCAUAGGAUCGGUAAAAGAGAAAAUCAAUUAGUUCGAAAACGAGUGGUGGAUAAGUUAUAAUGUUUCGUGAAGAAGUUAGCUUUAUAGGUAAUUCAAUAAACAUUAAUUCAAUAAACAUUCAACGUAAAAGAGGAAGAAGAAAACAAUAACUUUAUAAGGCAAACAAACAGUCACUAGUCUAUAAAACGACUACUCAUUGAGUGUUGGACGUGAUGGCAAGUUUCUAUAAGCUUAACAUGCAAACUUAUGAUAUACAAUUAACGCCUAAUACUACCCUAAACCCGUAUCCAACCAUGUGCUAUCGGGGGAGUUCUAGGGUGUAUGAAGAUACUAUGAGAAACCGUGUAUUACUUGUUGAAGAGAGCACGACCAUGUCGUAAUGAGGGACUGCGGAUCGUCAGUGAUGCUAAUCGUUAGUUAGGUUGAGACUAAGGAGGUUGCCCAUCGACCAUGCAUGAUGGAGAAGCCGUGAGGAAUUAUGUGAUUGAGGCAACACCUAAUUUUGACAUAGCAGGUAUUAAUUUUGUUUAAAUAUGAUUUUGAUUUGAUUUAGACUUUCGGACCAUUAGAUUUAGAUCCAGUUAGACUUCAAUUUUGACUAAAUAUUGAUUUUGACUUUAGUUAAUUUUGCCUUUGACCUAAUGUAAAUUUUGAGUAUAGUUUGAUUAUAUUAUGAUUGUAGACUAAUUUAGAGCUAAUUUAGUUUAAAAUUAAAUUUUUGACUAAUUUAAACCUCGAUCAAUCUUCGAUCGAUCGAAUCUUGAUUUUGAUGAAUUUUGAUCUUAGUCAACUUCAAUUCUGAGUGGCCUAAUUGAGUUGAUGUUUGACCCAAAUCUAUGAGCCUAACUUGGAUAGCUUAAUCACAGGCUUGCCCAAUUAAAUAAGGUUAUUUAUCCUAAUUUAUAAUUUCAUAUAAUAUUAAAUAAAAAUAUAAUGUAUAAUUUAUAAUUUUCUCAUAUAACAUAUUGGUGAAUUUUUUGCUUAUGAUAAUUAAAUUAUAAUUAUAAUUUUUGGAUAUUUAUGUAUUAUAUAUAUGCAUAUGUUUGAAAUUAUAAAAUAAUAUUUAUUUUUCAUAUAAAUAUAUGAUUUAUGUUUAUCAUGAUUAUAGUUAAGUUUUUUUUUAUAAUGAUUAAUAUUCAAUAAUUAUUAUAAUUAUUAUUUUAUUAUCAAAUUAUUUCUACAUAAAUUAGAUUAAAAAUUUUGAUGAAUAUUACUUAUAACUUAUAUCUCUAGGUUCUAUCUGAAUAUUAGUUGCCAAAGUGGCUUAAUAAAAUAACUUAUGAGAUAUAAAUUAUAAUAAAUAUUUUAUCAUUUAUAUGAUGUUUUAAAUUAUAAUUUAUGUUAUUAUAUUGGUCUUCUAGUCAUUAAAGUGGACUAGACUAAUAAAUUUAAAAAAUUAUAUUAAAAAUUAGUAUUAAAUUAUAUUUAAAAAUAAUAUUCAUAAUAGCUAAUGACAUACAUAAUUAAUAGAUUUAGAUAAUAUCAAGAGAGAAUAUAUUUUAAAAAAUUAUGUAAAGGGUUAAUGAUACUAUUUUUGAUAUCCUUAUACCCAAAAAUAACAACACUAUUUCAUAAAGAUAAUUACAAUUCAAUCAUUCAUAAUGAUAAUAUUUUAUAUGAAUACCAGAUAUGUUACUAUUUCAAAAUAUAACUAGCACAUUUAAAUAUUAAAUGAUUGAUUUAAUAAUUAUUGAUAAGUUAUUAAUUGGUACUUAAUGAAAGAACUAAUUAUAACUUAUACUAUUGAUAACUAACUCUUACAUAAUAUUGAUAUUGUCAUUGGUAACUUGUAGAGUGGUUUUGAGAAAAUCUCAAAAGAAAAGGAGAUAUCCUUUUAGUGAUUAUGUGAUAUAUUCAUAAGAAUCAGAGUAUAAUAUUUUCUUAUUAUUUUUACAAGUUAUGAAAAGUAACAAUUUUAAAAAUAAUAUAAUACAAUAAAAAAAGAGUUGAGAUUAAUAAAUUAGAAUGAUAUUUGAAAACUUAUCAUAUUGCUUAAUAAUUAUAAAAGAGUCUAUUUUAUAGGGUCUUUAAGAUUAAACAUGUUUCAAAGGUUAAUAUGAAACAAUACAUAGUUAGAUUUAUGAUAAAAAAAAUUACUUAUAAAGAAAAUAUUAAUUAUAAUGAGAUUUUUUUCUUUAGUUUAUCUAAUAAACUCGUUAAUAGUCAUGAUGACAUUAGCGACUUAUUAUUAGUUUAAGUUACAUCAGAUGAAUGUAAAAAUAUUUUUUUAAAUAAAAACUAGAUAAAAAAUUUAUAUGAAUUAAUCUAAAUGAUUCAUAUAGAAAAACUAAAUAUAAAAUUUAGCCUAUAAAAUUUGGACAUCUAUUUAUAAUUAUAAACAAUCUUCUAGACAAUGGUAUAUAAAAUCUUGUGAUACUAUUAUUUUCUUUAAAUUUAAGAAAAAUACUAUUGAUCAAUAUUUAUAUCUAAAGAAUAAUGGGAAUAUGAUUAUUAACUUAGAAAAUAUUAAAUAAAAUAAUAAAUAAAAAAUUAUUCUUUGUGCAUGUGUGAUUAAAAGUCUAUUAUAUGCUUAAAUUUAUAUUAUAUCAUAUAUUAGUUUUGUAAUUAGAAUAUUAGGUAGAUAUUAGAAUUAUCAAUGAAUGAAUAAGAUAUUUGCAAGGGAUGAACGAUUCUAUGCUCAAAUAUAGGAAAUUGGAUUAACUUAAAAAAUAAUGAUAUUUUUAUAUGUUGAUCUUAUAAAUUAUCUCUAGAAAGUUCACUUUAUGAUUUAUGUUUACAUUAGCUAUUAGGAUAAUUUAUAGGAAUAAUAUAAUGUAAACUAUAUUAUCAUCAAUAUAAGUUGAUUUUGUGACAUGUUAUUAAUCAAGCUUUAUCACUAUAAAAUUUUAUUUUAGGACUUAAUAUGGCCAAAUUCAAUUACUAAGAUUUUUUUUGAUGUAUUAAAGUAACUUUCUUCUUUGAAAAAGAUAAGUACUAUAAUAGUUCUAAGUAUAUUAGCAUAGAGGACUUGAUAAUUAAAAAAAGAGUUUAAAAAUAACUAAUGUGAAUUAUGAACAUGAGUUUCAAUAUAUUAAUUAUUGAUCCAUUCAUAUAGGUCUUAUAACUUAAAAUAUUUGAAAAAAUAUUUUCUUAUAAUUGGAUCUAUGCGCAAUCCAUAAAAAAUAUGAUGAUAUAUACUUGAGUGAAUAUUAUAAUUAAUAUUUUUUUUAUAUAAUUAAAAAUAUUUAUUUAUUUUAUUUAUAUAUAUACAUAUUUAUGAUGGAAUGUGAAUAAUAUAACUAUCUUAAUAAGACAAAUUAUAAGAGUUAUUUUAUACUAAAUUAUGAAAGACUAAUAAUGUUAUAGUAUAUAUGUAACAUCGCAUUAGUCCCACAUCGGUAGUGGGUAAUGUGUAUGAUUGACUUAUAUGGGUGUGAUGAGUGUAUUAUUAUCAAUUUCAACUUAAGUAUUUUAGUCAGUGAUUUAGAUCAAACGAAGUUGACAAUAUAUAAGGAAAUAUGAUAAUGAUAGAAGUUAUAGUGAUUCAGAUCAAACGAAGUUAUAAUAUUAUUUAUAGUGAUCAAACGAAGUUAUAAUAUCUAAAUCACUAGAUCAAACGAAGGAAAUAUGAUAAUGAUCUGAAGUUGACAAUUUAUAACUUCGUUUGAUCUGAAUCACUAUAACAAUAUAUAAGGACACAUAAUCACUAUAACUUAUAUUAUUAAUCAGACUUAAUAUAAUAUUAUUAAAUUUAUUAGCUUAUUUUUAAAUUAGUAAGUGUAUAAUUUUUUUUUAAUUUCAGACUCUAAUUGGGUGAAAUUAUUUUUAAGUAAAUUUUAUUUUAUUUAUUUUGAUUUUGAAUCUUUUUAUAUCUUUAACAAUUAAAAUGCUAAAUUUGAGAAUGUUAGAUUAUGUUGUUCUAUUUAAUUAAAAUAUAUUAUAGAUCUGAUUAGAUUUUAAUUAUAGUUAUCGAUCAAUAGAAAAAAAUCUAAUUAUGAUAAAAUUUCUACGAGAUAUUUUUAU